rnacentral:lncRNA from 1 species
UAAGGCCCUGGGCAACUUGAUCUAGCUGUGGUAUCCCUGCUCACUGCAGUGGAGUUGGACUAGAUGCCCUUCAGAGGUUCCUUUCAACUCUAAGGAUUCUAUGAUUUUAAAACUCAACAUGAGAAUCCAGUUCUCCACCUGUUCAGUUAAAGAGCUGAACUGUAGAUUCGUGAGUAAGGUUUAAUGCUUUCAUUUUCGUGUUUUAGUGAUUCUUACAAAAACAGACAUAAAAUUGCAUUUCAGUAGGACCCUAGCUAUUACUUGCAGAUUAUUUUCCCUUACUUUAAAUCGUAUUUAUUCUUUGAGACACUAUAGUCUCUCUGUCAUCAGAUAUAGUAAAGCUAAGUUCAAGCAGAGCACGAAAGAGGCAAGUUUGAAUCAGAAGGAGAAGAAAACCAGUAAGUCCUCAGGCCAGGAUAUCAGGAAGCCAUGCCAAGAAUAUGAACAUUUUCUAUGCUGAUGCUUUCAUUGAUAUCUACAAAGAAAAAAUAUAAUGAAAAAACUUUGAUGAAAGUCAGUAUACCUACUCACAGCCAAUGACUGAUAAAAGGAUGACAAACAUCAUAUAAGCACACAGAUACCAGACAUGAGGACUUCUUAUGUAGUCAGGCAUGCAAACUAUGCAUGCUCAAUAAGAGAUCAGCCAGAGGCCUGCAAUACCUAUGAGACCUUGCUACAUGAGUACUGCAGAGAUACUGCCAAGAAGACUUUGGAAUCAUAACUGUAGCCCAUAAUUGGAUGCAUCAAGAAGAUCCUGAUCAUUGGCUCAAACUCAGAUGUAAUGCAGAAUGGAGAAGCCAUAAAAUCAGGUUUCAUUUUGCUGAGGGAAAGAAAAUCUCAGGAUCCGGAAAUGUGAAGGAGAAGUUUAGACAGAAGACAACUAUGUUGUAUCUAUCGUUACAGGAAAUAGAAAGCUUCAACCGCUCCUUUAAUUGUGGGAAUGAAGGGGAGAGG